GACGAACGCUGGCGGCGUGCUUAACACAUGCAAGUCGAACGGAAAGGCCCUGCUUUUGUGGGGUGCUCGAGUGGCGAACGGGUGAGUAACACGUGAGUAACCUGCCCUUGACUUUGGGAUAACUUCAGGAAACUGGGGCUAAUACCGGAUAGGAGCUCCUGCUGCAUGGUGGGGGUUGGAAAGUUUCGGCGGUUGGGGAUGGACGCGCGGCUUAUCAGCUUGUUGGUGGGGGAGUGGCUUACCAAGGCUUUGACGGGUAGCCGGCCUGAGAGGGUGACCGGCGACAUUGGGACUGAGAUACGGCCCAGAGUCCUACGGGAGGCAGCAGUGGGGAAUAUUGCCCAAUGGGCGGAAGCCUGAUGCAGAAACGCCGCGUGCGGGAUGACGGCCUUCUGGUUGUAAACCGCUUUCGCCUGUUACGAAGCGUGAGUGACGGUAAUGGGUAAAGAAGCACCGGCUAACUACGUG
rnacentral:rRNA from 1 species